rnacentral:rRNA from 1 species
UACGUAGGGUCCGAGCGUUGUCCGGAAUUACUGGGCGUAAAGCGUGCGCAGGCGGUUGUGCAAGACAGAUGUGAAAUCCCCGGGCUUAACCUGGGAACUGCAUUUGUGACUGCACGGCUAGAGUGCGGCAGAGGGGGAUGGAAUUCCGCGUGUAGCAGUGAAAUGCGUAGAUAUGCGGAGGAACGACCGAUGGCGAAGGCAAUCCCCUGGGCCUGCACUGACGGCUCGAUGCACGAAAGCGUGGGGAGCAAACAGG